rfam:Schistosoma curassoni strain Dakar, Senegal genome assembly, scaffold: SCTD_scaffold0008489
GUCCGGCUGACGAGUCCCAAACAGAACGAAACACGCGUUCUGCUACAC